UGAUUGAGAAAAAUCGUGAAAUCCAGUCCCCAGUCCCGACUCCCGACUCCCGACUCCCGACGCCCUACCCUCUCUAUCUCCUUGUAGCUCUCCACAAGCUGCAACUCUCUCGCGAAGCUCGACGACCGUCUCUGCUCUCUCGCGAAGCUCGACGUUCUCUACUCUAUUGGAAGAUCAAUGUUCUCUGCUCUCUUGCGAAGUUCUCUUCUCUCGCAAAGCUCGGCGUCUCUCAGGGCUUCUGGGUUGAAGAUUCUUGGAUUGGAAGCUUUGAUAUAGAGCAACGGCAGAGGGAGUUUGUAAAGUACUAAGGAGUUCUACAAGGUUGGACUUACACUUCCCAACUGUUUGAUUAAAAGUCGCUGUGAAUUCAUGGACAUUGGUAGUGAAUAAUGACUUGGCAGUCGAUGUAUGCAGUAUGGUAAGCCACACAAAAUUGUCACUGGACUACUAUUUCAAUACUUCUUGCGAUGUUUAACUUCACUUUUGUCCUCAACUGGUGUGAAACUUGGGGUUCCACUGAAGAAAUUGAACAAACACAUAGCAUGGUAAAACCAACUUCUUAUGUGACUGAUUUUUGUUGAAUCCUUUGCUUCACAUUUGUGGUCAAUAUGUGAAGAUCUACCUGAGUCAGAUGCUCAAUUGGCAAGACUACUACUGGUGGAACCCAUGUGAUGAAGCUGUAAAGGCUUGGAAACAUGUUUUGAGGAGUCAAUUUGGGAAUGAUUUCAAUCAAUGAUACACACACACAGCACACAAAGCAGGUUGAGGAAUGUAUACAAUGCCAAGAAAGAUGGCAUAAUCUUGUCUACCAUGUAAAAGAGUCAACACUACCCAUGCAUGAAGCACCUUGUAUUGCCUACAACAACAAACAUUUUUUGCAUUGCUGCUUUUUAUCAAAUAAGAAUGUGGGAUCGUUGGCAUGGC